AUGCAUCAGAAUAUCCCUUUCUCCUCUGUUUGCUUCCUUAAGGUUUGCUUUGAUAUUUCACACUGCAACCUGCAGGGAGGCCGUUACCCUAUAGAUCGCAAAGGUUGGCAGCACGAUGGUUGUUUUGAUGGAGAUAUUUUGAUUGGUUCCAUGUUCACUGCAGGUGAUGCGGCCAAACAGUGUCCUGGCAAUGACCCAGAGGAAAACAGUCCCUCACAGCUGCAGCCAGACUCAGUGACAAGGCAGCUUGUGAAACGACGACUACUUCCCAGGCUCCUUGCACUUUGUGCCAGAAUUUCGCCUGACCCCUCAUGUGUCAGUUCAGCGUGGAGGCUACAGCGCCAAGGUGAAGGCCCAGAACAGGUUUACAAUCAAAAUGACCUUCCCAGAACAAAGCCUGCAUAGAAAUAGACAUGGUACAGUAUGCUAGGGAGAGAUGCCACCAAAUCUCAGCUGCUGAAUUCUUCUGCUGCAUUGACUCACCAGUUUGAACUCUUUGGCCUUCAUGCUUCCACUCUCCAUCAGAAAUCCCCAGUCCAGGGAACGAACCCAGGCUCCCACUGCCUUAGCUGGUUUCCCGUCCUCCUUGGCACAGUUGGGAGGAAGAAGCUCAGAACCUGAGAGGUUAAGCUCCUGGGAGAUGAAUGUUGUUCUUUACUGAGAAUGGAGGGCUGUGCUGAUAAAUCAUUGGAUAAUGUGAGAGUGGGUAAUUUUCAUUCCUGCACAGGGAAAUUUGCAUAAAAUCACACUUUAAAAACUAAACAAUUCAGGUGACAUGACAGCCCAAAUUAGGACCUGAUGAUGCGUGGCAAUUGGAAAUAGGUGAGGAGAACAUAAAAAUCUACUUUAAUCACAGUGGUGAAGAGCAGGAAUAAUUCUUUGCCAUUCACAUAUUUCAAGCGAGAGAAGGAUAUGCAUUAAUCCCACCCAGAUCCCAUCUGCAUCGCAUGGCUGUGAAAAGCAAAGUUAAUUUCCCAGCUUCUGAUGCAAACAUUUGACCUGCAAUGGAGACCAGGACAUGAGUUGCUCCAAUGUUGCUUUGUGGGUCCAGCAUUAGAGAGAAGAUAGAUCCCUCCAGGCUUUAAACAACUUUGUGAGCCCCUGUGGCUACUAGGGAGAUAGGGGUGAAAUCUUAGCUCCAUUGAAGUAAAAUGGAUGGCUGUCUCCACUCUAGUCUGAAACACUGCCUCAAACCCACCCCAGGGGCAUAAGGUCACAGCUGCUCAGCGAAUGGGGAAUUCUCACAUGCCGCCAUCAGUUUAGGACUAUGGAGUUGAAUAUGCAGAGUAACUGAGCAUCCUGUUUUGGAGCCAUUUCUCCUGCCUGUUUCCUUCUGAAAUCCCGGCUCGAAAUUCAGAGCCACAUGUUGGACGCUCCCACCAUCCCCUCUCUAGUGCUUAACAAUAUUUUUAUUUUUGUUGCAGAUUUAGCUGAUUAAAAAACAAACCAACCGAACAGCAAACUCCACCGCCGCUGAAAAGCCUGACAUUUGCAAUGGCCAACUUCCUGGAGCACAUUAGCGUGAGUUUGCUGGUGAAGAGGGGCCUGCAGCCAUAAGCUCUUAAACCUGGUGAGUUUAAUAAAUAAAUAACUGAUGUCCUGCA
rnacentral:lncRNA from 1 species